UACGGAGGGUGCGAGCGUUAUUCGGAUUCACUGGGCGUAAAGGGCGCGUAGGCGGUUUGGUAAGUCUGAUGUGAAAUCCCUCGACUUAAUCGAGGAAGUGCAUUGGAUACUGCCAAGCUAGAGUACAGGAGAGGAAGAUGGAAUUCCCGGUGUAGAGGUGAAAUUCGUAGAUAUCGGGAGGAACAACAGUGGCGAAGGCGAUCUUCUGGACUGUAACUGACGCUGAGGCGCGAAAGCGUGGGUAGCAAAC
rnacentral:rRNA from 1 species